CCUACGGGAGGCAGCAGUGAGGAAUAUUGGUCAAUGGGAGAGAUCCUGAACCAGCCAAGCCGCGUGAGGGAAGACGGCCCUAUGGGUUGUAAACCUCUUUUGUCGGAGAACAAAACCCGGGACGUGUCCCGGACUGCGUGUAUCCGAAGAAAAAGCAUCGGCUAACUCCGUGCCAGCAGCCGCGGUAAUACGGAGGAUGCGAGCGUUAUCCGGAUUUAUUGGGUGUAAAGGGUGCGUAGGCGGUCCGUUAAGUCAGCGGGAAAAUUGCGGGGCUCAACCCCGUCGAGCCGUUGAAACUGGCAGACUUGAGUUGGCGAGAAGUACGCGGAAUGCGCGGUGUAGCGGUGAAAUGCAUAGAUAUCGCGCAGAACUCCGAUUGCGAAGGCAGCGUACCGGCGCCAGACUGACGCUGAGGCACGAAAGCGUGGGGAUCGAACAGGAUUAGAUACCCUUGUAGUC
rnacentral:rRNA from 1 species